rnacentral:rRNA from 1 species
UACGAAGGGGGCUAGCGUUGCUCGGAAUCACUGGGCGUAAAGGGCGCGUAGGCGGACUUUUAAGUCAGGGGUGAAAUCCUGGAGCUCAACUCCAGAACUGCCUUUGAUACUGAGGAUCUUGAGUUCGGGAGAGGUGAGUGGAACUGCGAGUGUAGAGGUGAAAUUCGUAGAUAUUCGCAAGAACACCAGUGGCGAAGGCGGCUCACUGGCCCGAUACUGACGCUGAGGCACGAAAGCGUGGGGAGCAAACAGG